GGGUUGUGAGGUUAAGCGACUAAGCGUACACGGUGGAUGCCACGGCAGUCAGAGGCGAUGAAGGACGUGCUAAUCUGCGAAAAGCGUCGGUAAGGUGAUAUGAACCGUUAUAACCGGCGAUGUCCGAAUGGGGAAACCCAGUGCAAUUCGUUGCACUAUCGUUAACUGAAUACAUAGGUUAACGAGGCGAACCGGGGGAACUGAAACAUCUAAGUACCUCGAGGAAAAGAAAUCAACCGAGAUUCCCCCAGUAGCGGCGAGCGAACGGGGAGCAGCCCAGAGUCUGAAUCAGCUUGUGUGUUAGUGGAACGGUCUGGAAAGUCCGACGGUACAGGGUGAUAGUCCCGUACACCAAAAUGCACAGGUUGUGAACUCGAAGAGUAGGGCGGGACACGUGGUAUCCUGUCUGAAUAUGGGGGGACCAUCCUCCAAGGCUAAAUACUCCUGACUGACCGAUAGUGAACCAGUACCGUGAGGGAAAGGCGAAAAGAACCCCGGCGAGGGGAGUGAAAAAGAACCUGAAACCGUGUACGUACAAGCAGUGGGAGCACCUUCGGGUGUGACUGCGUACCUUUUGUAUAAUGGGUCAGCGACUUAUAUUCUGUAGCAAGGUUAACCGUAUAGGGGAGCCGCAGGGAAACCGAGUCUUAACUGGGCGUUAAGUUGCAGGGUAUAGACCCGAAACCCGGUGAUCUAGCCAUGGGCAGGUUGAAGGUUGGGUAACACUAACUGGAGGACCGAACCGACUAAUGUUGAAAAAUUAGCGGAUGACUUGUGGCUGGGGGGUGAAAGGCCAAUCAAACCGGGAGAUAGCUGGUUCUCCCCGAAAGCUAUUUAGGUAGCGCCUCGUGAAUUCAUCUUCGGGGGUAGAGCACUGUUUCGGCUAGGGGGGUCAUCCCGACUUACCAACCCGAUGCAAACUACGAAUACCGAAGAAUGUUAUCACGGGAGACACACGGCGGGUGCUAACGUCCGUCGUGAAGAGGGAAACAACCCAGACCGCCAGCUAAGGUCCCAAAGUCAUGGUUAAGUGGGAAACGAUGUGGGAAGGCACAGACAGCCAGGAUGUUGGCUUAGAAGCAGCCAUCAUUUAAAGAAAGCGUAAUAGCUCACUGGUCGAGUCGGCCUGCGCGGAAGAUGUAACGGGGCUAAACCAUGCACCGAAGCUGCGGCAGCGACACUAUGUGUUGUUGGGUAGGGGAGCGUUCUGUAAGCCUGCGAAGGUGACCUGUGAGGGUUGCUGGAGGUAUCAGAAGUGCGAAUGCUGACAUAAGUAACGAUAAAGCGGGUGAAAAGCCCGCUCGCCGGAAGACCAAGGGUUCCUGUCCAACGUUAAUCGGGGCAGGGUGAGUCGACCCCUAAGGCGAGGCCGAAAGGCGUAGUCGAUGGGAAACAGGUUAAUAUUCCUGUACUUGGUGUUACUGCGAAGGGGGGACGGAGAAGGCUAUGUUAGCCGGGCGACGGUUGUCCCGGUUUAAGCAUGUAGGCUGAUUAUCGGGCAAAUCCGGAUAAUCAAGGCUGAGGUGUGAUGACGAGGCACUACGGUGCUGAAGUAACAAAUGCCCUGCUUCGGGAAAAGCCUCUAAGCAUCAGGUAACAUCAAAUCGUACCCCAAACCGACACAGGUGGUCAGGUAGAGAAUACCAAGGCGCUUGAGAGAACUCGGGUGAAGGAACUAGGCAAAAUGGUGCCGUAACUUCGGGAGAAGGCACGCUGGUGUGUAGGUGAAGUCCCUGCGGAUGGAGCUGAGACCAGUCGAAGAUACCAGCUGGCUGCAACUGUUUAUUAAAACACAGCACUGUGCAAACACGAAAGUGGACGUAUACGGUGUGACGCCUGCCCGGUGCCGGAAGGUUAAUUGAUGGGGUUAUCCGUAAGGAGAAGCUCUUGAUCGAAGCCCCGGUAAACGGCGGCCGUAACUAUAACGGUCCUAAGGUAGCGAAAUUCCUUGUCGGGUAAGUUCCGACCUGCACGAAUGGCGUAAUGAUGGCCAGGCUGUCUCCACCCGAGACUCAGUGAAAUUGAACUCGCUGUGAAGAUGCAGUGUACCCGCGGCAAGACGGAAAGACCCCGUGAACCUUUACUAUAGCUUGACACUGAACAUUGAGCCUUGAUGUGUAGGAUAGGUGGGAGGCUUUGAAGCGUGGACGCCAGUCUGCGUGGAGCCAACCUUGAAAUACCACCCUUUAAUGUUUGAUGUUCUAACGUUGCCCCUGACCGGGGUUGCGGACAGUGUCUGGUGGGUAGUUUGACUGGGGCGGUCUCCUCCCAAAGCGUAACGGAGGAGCACGAAGGUUAGCUAAUCUGGUCGGACAUCAGGAGGUUAGUGCAAUGGCAUAAGCUAGCUUGACUGCGAGCGUGACGGCGCGAGCAGGUGCGAAAGCAGGUCAUAGUGAUCCGGUGGUUCUGAAUGGAAGGGCCAUCGCUCAACGGAUAAAAGGUACCGGGGAUAACAGGCUGAUACCGCCCAAGAGUUCAUAUCGACGGCGGUGUUUGGCACCUCGAUGUCGGCUCAUCACAUCCUGGGGCUGAAGUAGGUCCCAAGGGUAUGGCUGUUCGCCAUUUAAAGUGGUACGCGAGCUGGGUUUAGAACGUCGUGAGACAGUUCGGUCCCUAUCUGCCGUGGGCGCUGGAGAAUUGAGGGGCUGCUCCUAGUACGAGAGGACCGGGUGGACGCAUCACUGGUGUUCGGGUUGUCAUGCCAAUGGCACUGCCCGGUAGCUAAAUGCGGAAGAGAUAAGUGCUGAAAGCAUCUAAGCACGAAACUUGCCCCGAGAUGAGUUCUCCUGAGACUUUAAGUCUCCUGAAGGAACGUUGAAGACGACGACGUUGAUAGGCCGGGUGUGUAAGCGCAGCGAUGCGUUGAGCUAACCGGUACUAAUGAACCGUGAGGCUUAACCUUACAACGCCGAAG
rnacentral:rRNA from 1 species